rnacentral:rRNA from 1 species
AGAGUUUGAUCAUGGCUCAGAUUGAACGCUGGCGGCAUGCUUUACACAUGCAAGUCGAACGGCAGCACGGGCUUCGGCCCGGUGGCGAGUGGCGAACGGGUGAGUAAUGCAUCGGAACGUGCCCAUUUGUGGGGGAUAACUACGCGAAAGCGUGGCUAAUACCGCAUACGCCCUGAGGGGGAAAGCGGGGGAUUCUUCGGAACCUCGCGCAAUUGGAGCGGCCGAUGUCAGAUUAGCUUGUUGGUGAGGUAAAGGCUCACCAAGGCGACGAUCUGUAGCGGGUCUGAGAGGAUGAUCCGCCACACUGGGACUGAGACACGGCCCAGACUCCUACGGGAGGCAGCAGUGGGGAAUUUUGGACAAUGGGGGCAACCCUGAUCCAGCCAUGCCGCGUGAGUGAAGAAGGCCUUCGGGUUGUAAAGCUCUUUCAGCCGGGAAGAAAACGCACUCUCUAACAUAGGGUGUGGAUGACGGUACCGGAAGAAGAAGCACCGGCUAACUACGUGCCAGCAGCCGCGGUAAUAC